rnacentral:rRNA from 1 species
AGAGUUUGAUCAUGGCUCAGGACGAACGCUGGCGGCGCGCUAACACAUGCAAGUCGAGCGAGAACCAGGGCUUCGGCCCUGGGACAGCGGCGAACGGGUGAGUAACACGUGGAUAACCUGCCCUCGGCACCGGAAUAGCCCGGGGAAACCCGGAUUAAUGCCGGAUAGCCCCUUCCUCCUGCGGGAGGUCGGGAAAAGGUAGCUUCGGCCUCUGGCCGAGGAUGGGUCCGCGGCGGAUUAGCUAGUUGGCGGGGUAACGGCCCACCAAGGCGACGAUCCGUAGCUGGUCUGAGAGGACGAUCAGCCACACUGGGACUGAGACACGGCCCAGACUCCUACGGGAGGCAGCAGUGGGGAAUCUUGCGCAAUGGGCGAAAGCCUGACGCAGCGACGCCGCGUGCGGGAAGAAGGCCUUCGGGUUGUAAACCGCUUUCAGGAGGGACGAAGCCACUCGGGUGAACAGCCCAGAGGGUGACGGUACCUCCAGAAGAAGCCCCGGCUAACUACGUGCCAGCAGCCGCGGUAAUACGUAGGGGGCAAGCGUUGUCCGGAUUCAUUGGGCGUAAAGAGCGUGUAGGCGGCCAGGUAGGUCGGUUGUGAAAACUGGAGGCUCAACCUUCAGACGUCGACCGAAACCCCCUGGCUAGAGUCCGGGAGAGGAGAGUGGAAUUCCUGGUGUAGCGGUGGAAUGCGCAGAUAUCAGGAAGAACACCCGUGGCGAAAGCGGCUCUCUGGAACGGUACUGACGCUGAGACGCGAAAGCGUGGGGAGCGAACAGGAUUAGAUGCCCUGGUAGUCCACGCCGUAAACGAUGGGCGCUAGGUGUGGGAGGUGUCGACUCCUUCCGUGCCGAAGCUAACGCAUUAAGCGCCCCGCCUGGGGAGUACGGCCGCAAGGCUAAAACUCAAAGGAAUUGACGG